GACGAACGCUGGCGGCGCGCUUAACACAUGCAAGUCGAGCGGGAACCGGGCCUUCGGGCCCGGGGACAGCGGCGAACGGGUGAGUAACACGUGGGUAAUCUGCCCUCGGUACUGGGAUAGCCCGGGGAAACCCGGAUUAAUACCGGAUAGCCCUUCGAGCCUUCGGGCGCGCAGGAAAAGGUAGCUGCGGCCUCCGACCGAGGACGAGCCGGCGGCGGAUUAGCUUGUUGGUGGGGUAACGGCCUACCAAGGCGACGAUCCGUAGCUGGUAUGAGAGGACGAUCAGCCACACUGGGACUGAGACACGGCCCAGACUCCUACGGGAGGCAGCAGUGGGGAAUCUUGCCCAAUGGGCGAAAGCCUGAGGCAGCGACGCCGCGUGCGGGAAGAAGGCCCUCGGGUUGUAAACCGCUUUCAGGAGGGACGAAGCCACUCGGGUUAAUAGCCCAGAGGGUGACGGUACCUCCAGAAGAAGCCCCGGCUAACUACGUGCCAGCAGCCGCAGUAACAC
rnacentral:rRNA from 1 species